UGGAGGAAAGCAGGGGAUCGUAAGACCUUGCGCUUUUGGAGUGGCCGAUGCCUGAUUAGCUAGUUGGUGGGGUAAGGGCCUACCAAGGCAACGAUCAGUAGUUGGUCUGAGAGGACGACCAGCCACACUGGGACUGAGACACGGCCCAGACUCCUACGGGAGGCAGCAGUGGGGAAUUUUGGACAAUGGGCGAAAGCCUGAUCCAGCAAUGCCGCGUGAGUGAAGAAGGCCUUCGGGUUGUAAAGCUCUUUCAGUCGAGAAGAAAAGGUUGUGACUAAUAAUCACAACUUAUGACGGUACCGACAGAAGAAGCACCGGCUAACUACGUGCCAGCAGCCGCGGUAAUACGUAGGGUGCGAGCGUUAAUCGGAAUUACUGGGCGUAAAGGGUGCGCAGGCGGCUUUGUAAGUCAGAUGUGA
rnacentral:rRNA from 1 species